AUUGAACGCUGGCGGCGUGCUUAACACAUGCAAGUCGAACGAAGUGGCGAACGGGUGAGUAACGCGUAAUCAACCUGCCCUUCAGAGGGGGACAACAGUUGGAAACGACUGCUAAUACCGCAUACUGAAGGAGGGGAUUGCGUCUGAUUAGCUAGUUGGAGGGGUAACGGCCCACCAAGGCGAUGAUCAGUAGCCGGGCUGGGAGGAUGAACGGCCAACUUGGGGCUUGGACACGGCCCAGGCUCCUACGGGGGGCAGCAGGGGGGAAUCUUCCGCAAUGGACGGAAGGCUGACGGAGCAAAGCCGCGUGAGUGAUGACGGCCUUCGGGUUGGAAAGCUCUGUUAAUCGGGACGCGGUACCGGAAUAGAAAGCCACGGCUAACUACGUGCCAGCAGCCGCGGUAAUUC
rnacentral:rRNA from 1 species